rnacentral:rRNA from 1 species
GUGGGGAAUAUUGCGCAAUGGGGGAAACCCUGACGCAGCGACGCCGUGUGAGGGAAGAAGGUCUUCGGAUUGUAAACCUCUGUCCUUGGGGACGAAAAAAAUGACGGUACCCAAGGAGGAAGCUCCGGCUAACUACGUGCCAGCAGCCGCGGUAAUACGUAGGGAGCGAGCGUUGUCCGGAAUUACUGGGCGGAAAGGGUGCGUAGGCGGCUUGGCAAGUCAGAUGUGAAAUCCCCGGGCUUAACUCGGGAGUUGCAUUUGAAACUGCUAGGGUUGAGUGCAGGAGAGGAAAGCGGAAUUCCUAGUGUAGCGGUGAAAUGCGUAGAUAUUAGGAGGAACACCAGUGGCGAAGGCGGCUUUCUGGACUGUAACUGACGCUGAGGCACGAAAGCGUGGGGAGCAAACAGGAUUAGAAACCCGUGUAGUCC